rnacentral:ncRNA from 1 species
ACGCUCCGGAGAAGUCCAUUACGGAUACCGAAGGUGCAAGGCGCCCGCGCGCGGGGCUGCUUAAUCUCUCAGGUAAAAGGACGGAGUA